AAAUUGAAGAGUUUGAUCAUGGCUCAGAUUGAACGCUGGCGGCAGGCCUAACACAUGCAAGUCGAACGGUAACAGGAAGAAGCUUGCUUCUUUGCUGACGAGUGGCGGACGGGUGAGUAAUGUCUGGGAAACUGCCUGAUGGAGGGGGAUAACUACUGGAAACGGUAGCUAAUACCGCAUAACGUCGCAAGACCAAAGAGGGGGACCUUCGGGCCUCUUGCCAUCGGAUGUGCCCAGAUGGGAUUAGCUAGUAGGUGGGGUAACGGCUCACCUAGGCGACGAUCCCUAGCUGGUCUGAGAGGAUGACCAGCCACACUGGAACUGAGACACGGUCCAGACUCCUACGGGAGGCAGCAGUGGGGAAUAUUGCACAAUGGGCGCAAGC
rnacentral:rRNA from 1 species